rnacentral:tRNA from 1 species
GCCGGGAUGUUGGAACUGGUAGACAAUCAGGACUUAAAAUCCUGUGGUCGCAAGACCGUGUGGGUUCGAGUCCCACUCCCGGCA